rnacentral:rRNA from 1 species
AGGACUAGACGGGAUCGUAAGCGCCGCGAAAGCGGCGGGCGGCUUCGGCCGAGCGAUCGUC